GAUGAACGUUGGCGGUGUGCCUAAUACAUGCAAGUCGAACGGAGUCAAUAGCAAUAUUGGCUCAGUGGCGAACGGGUGAGUAACGCGUUGGUGAUCUGCCUUGAAGUGUGGAAUAACGUUUCGAAAGAGACGCUAAUACCGCAUGUGCUCUCGAUUUUCAGAAAGUUGAGAGUAAAGGAUUUAUUCGCUUCAAGAGGAGCCUGCGUCCCAUCAGCUGGUUGGUAGGGUAACGGCCUACCAAGGCUAUGACGGGUAGGGGACCUGAGAGGGUGGCCCCCCCACAAUGGAACUGAAACACGGUCCAUACACCUACGGGUGGCAGCAGUAGGGAAUAUUAGAAAUGGACGAAAGUCUGAUCUAGCAACACCGCGUGUGCGAAGAAGGCCUUCGGGUCGUAAAGCACUUUUUGGAAGGAAUAGGAAGGAAGGUACCUCCAGAAUAAGUCUCGGCUAACUACGUG
rnacentral:rRNA from 1 species